GUAUGUAUGUGUCUGUAUGUGUGUUUGUCUCUGUAUGUAUGUGUCUGUAUGAUAGACACAUACAUACAGAGACACACACACAUACAGACACAU
rnacentral:miRNA from 1 species